UGGGAUUCGAUCCCGGGUCUCCAGGAUCGCGCCCUGGGCCAAUGGCAGGCGCUAACCCGCUGCGCCACCCAGGGAUCCCGGCCCUCAGGCUUUGAAAAUCUUCCUUAGGUACUUCGGUAUCGCGGUGUGGAAAGUGGAAGUAGCUGACACCAAUUAGCUUGAGAAGGCAGCUAAAACUGACACUGAAAUAAUUUGAUCAUGAAAUCCUGUCCCACAUUCUAGGGAUGUGAAUCUGUUACUUGUCUCCGUAGGUGACAUUUAAUUAUGGGCUAAGGUGACAUUUAAUUAUGGGCUACACUGGGAGCUCUGGAGGGCAAGGCGACACGCAUACAUCUGUUCCUUCUUUGAUGGCUCAAGUAGGUCCUCAGCAAAUAUUUGGUGACUAAAUAAACGGAUGCAGUCACCACAGCUUGGUUCCCUCUAAAGGUACAACUAGGACAAGGGCUUGAGUGCUCUGGUCUUAUUUGGGAGAUAAUCCCAGGGAGCAUGAAUGAAGGACCAGAGGAGCGAAAGGAGCAGGAGAGGAGGUAUAAGGAUGAGUUAUCAAGGUCAUGGCAGAGGACAGCUGGAGCGCUGCCAUGCCCAGAACUUUCUGGGCAGCAUGAAGUGGACUCUCAGAAUUGCCUGCCAGACAGACCUGGAGGUGCCUUUUUUAUCCCUGGUCUGCAGUCCUCCUGGGUUGACACCUGCUCUUGGAUCUUUUACUCCUGACCAUGUAUGACCCCUGCCCGGGGCUAUACGGGCUCCCCUGCAGACAUCUCAGGACCAGAGAAACUCUGGGUUUCACAGCAGAGGGCAUAGGGCAUCUACUGAGUGGUGCUGCUGUUUUAGGAGGUGAGUGGUAGCCUCGAGGAAGGCUGCCAUCCCCGAGGCUGCAAGGACAGGGACCUAAAGGAGGAGAAGAUAAUAGGUAAGACAUGCUUUGCCCGUUUCCGUUAUCUAGAGGACCAGAUUCCUUUAAAAACUUUUUUCCUCCUGUAUGAUCCUAUUAUGUAUUCCAGGUAUGAGUGAAACCCGAAGUCAGAGUCUAAUUUGUGUAGUCCUUCAUGUCUGUAACUUGUACUUAGAAAGUUCUAUGCAGGAAGGAAAGGGAAAAGAAUGAACAGUUAACUCUCAAAGGAAGUGAAUUGAUCGCGCAAGCACGCACACACCGCCUGUGAGUUAACCGUCCAGGGUGCAAGUGACAACCUCAGCCUCAGUCCGUCUCGCGGGGCCAGUGCAGCAGCAUGGGGUUGUUGCUGACUUUGGGGGGAUCAUGUUGCCCCACUCCGGCCCAGGCUGACUGCCACUGUCUCGUGACGGUCCACGCAGCCUGCGGUGCUCACCCGGCAGAACCUCUGCUACCUCUGCAGGAACGGGAGCCAAGUACUUGCGGGGCGGCCUCUACUGCAUAAACACGGCUGCUCUCGGGAGUGUGGGAGGUCCUGAGUUCACAUUGCAGCUGGAACCCUGUGCCAUUUCUCCUGACAUCUGGACAGACGUGAGCAUGGGGAGGCCCAGCAGGAAGUGCUCUUUAUUGACGUCAGGCAGGGAAGGAGAAAUCACAGAAGAAGCCGCCGUGUCCCAGUUAGCAUGUCACAUAAUAUGCAGCAGUGGCUUCAGUGGGCUUCGAGACCAUCCAGAGAUGCAGCCAGGGCCCUACUAAGCACAAAGCCUCAUACUGCAUGUGGAGGUUUCAAAACAAGGGCUUUAAAACAUCAGAAAACUGACUUGGAUUGAGUGCUCCUCCACAUUUGGCAGGCUGAGAGUACAAGGGACAUAAAAACACCACAUUCGACACCAGCUAGGAGGAGAGUGCAUCAGACUUCAGGGGGCAUUUUGACGUCCAGGGCUAUGAAAGGAUGCUCUCACAAGCCCAGAUAGCUGCCUGCACAGGUUUCCAAAACCCGUACCAGUGCUGUCUGAUGGUGACAGCAGCAGUGUGGCUCUGGGCGUGGAAUGGGGCACUGCUGUCUUCCAAACCAUCGUAACCAGAUCAUGAGCAUGCUGGUGGGCCAUGGUGGGACUGGACAAGCCUUUACCUUCCUGGACACCUCUUCCCUGGUAAAAUGACAUGAUCAAUGUCAGUGGAUUUAGAGAGCAUGUCUGUCAUAAAGAUUUUCCUGUAGGCUGGCUCAUUAAAUUGAAGGGGGUCCCUGUGGUCACUUUCAACAUCAAACUUAUGAAUCAACAUAUAAAUGUAAAUUUCAUUUUGGUUUGUUCACCUUGUUUUUCUUUAAAGUUUUUAUUUAAAUUCCAGUUAGUUAAUAUAUAGUGUGAUAUUGGCUUCAGGAGUAGAAUUUAGUGAUUCGUCACUUCCAUAUAACAGCCAAUGCUCAUCUCAAGUACCCUGCUUAAGGCCCAUCACCCAUCUAGCCCAUCCCCCGCACACCUACAUCCCUUAAUUCUCAGUUUGUCCUCUAUAGCUAAGAGUCUGAUUUAUGGUUUGCCUCUUUUCCCCCCCAGGUUCAUCUGUUUUGUUUCUGAAAUUCUAC